rnacentral:rRNA from 1 species
GAUGAACGCUGGCGGCGUGCCUAAUACAUGCAAGUCGAGCGAACGGACGAGAAGCUUGCUCCUCUGAUGUUAGCGGCGGACGGGUGAGUAACACGUGGAUAACCUACCUAUAAGACUGGGAUAACUUCGGGAAACCGUAGCUAAUACCGGAUAAUAUUUUGAACCGCAUGGUUCAAAAGUGAAAGACGGUCUUGCUGUCACUUAUAGAUGGAUCCGCGCUGCAUUAGCUAGUUGGUAAGGUAACGGCUUACCAAGGCAACGAUGCAUAGCCGACCUGAGAGGGUGAUCGGCCACACUGGAACUGAGACACGGUCCAGACUCCUACGGGAGGCAGCAGUAGGGAAUCUUCCGCAAUGGGCGAAAGCCUGACGGAGCAACGCCGCGUGAGUGAUGAAGGUCUUCGGAUCGUAAAACUCUGUUAUUAGGGAAGAACAUAUGCGUAAGUAACUGUGCACAUCUUGACGGUUCCUAAUCAGAAAGCCACGGCUAACUACGUG